UACAGAGGUCCCAAGCGUUGUUCGGAUUCAUUGGGCGUAAAGGGUGCGUAGGUGGUGGGGUAAGUCGGGUGUGAAAUCUCGGAGCUUAACUCCGAAACUGCAUUCGAUACUGCCGUGCUUGAGGACUGGAGAGGAGACUGGAAUUUACGGUGUAGCGGUGAAAUGCGUAGAUAUCUGGAGGAACACCGGUGGCGAAGGCGGCAUCCUGGACCGGCAUUGACGCUGAGGCACGAAGGUCAGGGGAGCAAACGGG
rnacentral:rRNA from 1 species